AUUGAACGCUGGCGGCAGGCCUAACACAUGCAAGUCGAGCGGCAGCGGGAAAGUAGCUUGCUACUUUUGCCGGCGAGCGGCUGACGGGUGAGUAAUGCCUGGGAAAUUGCCCAGUCGAGGGGGAUAACAGUUAGAAACGACCGCUAAUACCGCAUACGCCCUACGGGGGAAAGCAGGGGACCUUCGGGCCUUGCGCGAUUGGAUAUGCCCAGGUGGGAUUAGCUAGUUGGUGAGGUAAUGGCUCACCAAGGCGACGAUCCCUAGCUGGUCUGAGAGGAUGAUAAGCCAAACUGGAACUGGGACACGGUCCAGACUCCUACGGGAGGCAGCAGUGGGGAAUAUUGCACAAUGGGGGAAACCCUGAUGCAGCCAUGCCGCGUGUGUGAAGAAGGCCUUCGGGUUGUAAAGCACUUUCAGCGAGGAGGAAAGGUUGAUGCCUAAUACGUAUCAACUGUGACGUUACUCGCAGAAGAAGCACCGGCUAACUCCGUGCCAGCCGCCGCAGUAA
rnacentral:rRNA from 1 species